UCCACACACGAGGGAGAAUUUACAGAGGCCAAUUAACCUACAAAGGAAUUUACAGAGGCCAAUUAACCUACAAACCUUCACAUCUUUAUAAUGUCGGCGGAAACUGGAGCACCCGGAACUCGUGGUCACUGGGAGAACGUACAAACUCUGUACUGAAAUCAUCGAGAGCCAGGGUCGAACCAAGGUCUCUGGUGCAAUAAGGCAGCAACUCCAUAUCGCUGUGCCAUUGUGAUGCUGCCUGACCCGCUGAGUUCCUUCAGCAUUUCUUUUUGCUCAUACACAAAAUGGGUUAAAUUCAAACGUACCACAGUGAAAAAUAUCAUUGAAGAUUUAAGAUGUGCUGAAGAUACAAAUAACUGUAGAUGCCAGAAUCUUGAGCCGGAGGAACUCGAUGAGUCAGGCUGCAUCGGAGGAAGGAACGGACAGGCAGUUUGACGAAGGGCCCAGACUGAAAACUUCAUGUUCAUUCCCUGCACUAACGCUGUCUUAUACACCGAGUCCCUUCAACAGAUGUGCUAACCGUCUUUCUUCGUGCUCCCCACCCGUGGUGGGAACAAAUGGUCUAAACGUACACCUACUUUCUUCUGAUAUGGAGAUGGGGUCUUGGAUGAAGUUAACAUACCUGUUUUAUUUUGCAUAUCACUUUUUGUAGCAAUGUGCUUUUGCGUAAAACUGUAAUAGCCUGCUACACUAAUUGUUGCAGCAUUAAGGUAAUUCCAGCUCAUUUUACUUAAACAAGUGAAUUAUGUUACUGAUAUAAAGUUGAAAUCUAGAAGCUGCUUGAAAGGAAAAUGCAUCGCACUAUAUUCAAUUGUCUCUUUUUAUUGGAGCUGUUGGAUAACGAUUAAUAAGGAGAUAUCUGAUUCAUGUUUUCCAUCUGUUAACGCAUAGAUCCUCAAGAUUCAAGAUUCAAGAGAGUUUAUUGCCAUGUGUUCCUGAUAGGACAAUGAAAAUCCUGAAGUCAUUCCAGUGAUUACAGUGCAAUCUCUGGGAUAGGAUUGUAAAUAGCUCGUUCUAAACUUCCCCCCAGUUUAGUUUCAGUGAAAAAUCACUGAGUCAAGCACUUGCGCAACUAAUGUUUAUUUUGACAAAACAUAAUUACAGUUCCCACUAUUAUACGUAACCACCACGGGUUUGAUCCUCGUAUCUGCCUGGCCAAGUCCUCUUAGCCGCGUUCAAGUAGAGACACUCCAGAAGGUCACGCAGUCCCAAGCAUUCUCCCAGAAGAUCGACACAGGACAUCGUGGGAGCGGCCUUUUAUAGGUCCGCGAACCUUGAGGGGCCGAACCACAAGGGGGUGGUCUCUUUACAGUCCAAUAACAGAUAUCAAUUAACACAGUAUAUGAUAGACAUUUCCCUAACCCAAUAAUAAAGUAACCAAUACAAUGUAUUUGAAAGAAAGUUCUAGAAGGAAACAAACAAGAAUAAACAUUGAAAUGUGUGCCCUGAGAUUCAAACAGUUUCUC